CGACCGGCUGAGCUGUGGCAACAGAUUGGACAUGUGGGUUAAAUGUAACAGCUGAUGCCCCAAACAACCAGUCUUGGCACCACAGGAAAACAUCAGGAAAUGCGCCUCCUUCCCUUCCUUGGACGGGGUGGGAGGAGAAUGGCUGCAGAAUGUUGCACAUGUUGACAGAGAAGGAGGCCACAAGUGGAGUUUACCUGGAUGCUGGCGAAGCAUUUGACCACGUCUUUCCAAGAAGAUAAAGAGAUAGCGGGGAGGGGUAAAUGACUGGGCAGCAGGUACAUUGAGACCUGGUUCAGUGAUGCCUGCUCAUCACUAAUGGGUCAAGGCUGGAGUCAGCUCUUACCUCCCCCGCUCAGUUUUUAACAAGCAACUACAAAUUGGGGCUGGAUUUAUUGCUUUAAUUAUCUGGAUUUGAGAAAGUAUUAACAAUGCUGAUUAAAUGUACAAGUGGAUCCUGCAUAUAUUUUUGGUGUUGGUUUUGGAGAGCUGGUUGUUAAACAUUUACCAGCACACCCUUUGGGCCACACCUUUGGAUGACAGUACCCAAAAAGCUAGAACAUCCCACUAUAUUGAACAUACCAGAAUUUAAUCUGGCCAAUCCAACUUACCUGUAGCAGAGAAUCAUGGCUAAAGAACUGGCCUCAGAUUCCCAAAGACCUGGGUGUGAG